GAUGAACGCUGGCGGUGUGCCUAAUACAUGCAAGUCGAGCGAACGGACGGUAAGCUCGUUCUCUUGCUGUUAGCGGCGGACGGGCGAGUAACACGUGGAUCACCUUCUUAUAUUUCUGGGAUAAUUUCGGGAAACCGGUGCUAAUACUGCCUAAUAUUUUGUACCGCUUGGUUCAAAAGUUCUUCACGCUUUUCCCGUCUCUUUUAGACGGUUCCGCGCUGGAUUAGCUAGUUGGUAAGGUAACGGCUUACCAAGGCAACGAUGCAUAGCCGACCUGAGAGGAUGAUCAGCCACACUGGAACUGAGACACGGUCCAGACUCCUACGGGAGGCAGCAGUGGGGAAUAUUGGGCAAUGGGCGAAAGCCUGACGGAGCAACACCGCGUGGGUGAAGAAGGUCUUCGGAUCGUAAAGCUCUUUUGUUGGGAAAGAACAGAUGUGUGUGUAACUGUGGCCAUCUUGACGGUACCUAAUCAAAAAGCCACGGCUAACUUCGUG
rnacentral:rRNA from 1 species